rnacentral:rRNA from 1 species
CACGUAGGCACCAAGCGUUAUCCGGAAUCAUUGGGUUUAAAGGGUCCGUAGGUGGGCCGUUAAGUCAGAGGUGAAAUCCUGCAGCUCAACUGUAGAAUUGCCUUUGAUACUGGCGGCCUUGAAUUACUGUGAAGUGGUUAGAAUAUGUGGUGUAGCGGUGAAAUGCAUAGAUAUCACAUAGAAUACCGAUUGCGAAGGCAGAUCACUAACAGUACAUUGACACUGAUGGACGAAAGCGUGGGGAGCGAACAGG